AUGAAUGCAAGAUAUUUCCAUGACAGCAGAUACAGAUCCAUCACCCUCUUUUCAUGACUCUCUCCAAUUCUUUUUUCUUUUAAAGUAGGUUUAUUGGGGGGCGCCUGGGUGGCUCAGUUGGUUAAGCGUCCGACUUUGGCUCAGGUCAUGAUCUCAUGGUUCGUAGGUUCGAGCCCCACAUCAGGCUGUGUGCUGACAGCUCAGAGCCAGGAUCCUGCUUCGAAUUCAGUGUCUUCCUCUCUCUCUGCCCCUCCCCAGCUUGUGCUCUGUCUGUCUGUCUCUCUCUCUCUCUCUCAUAAAUAAACAUUAAAAAACUAAUAAGAUAGGUUUAUUAGGAUAUACUAUACAAAAACCAGCUCAUACUUAAAAUGUACAGUUUGAUGAGGUUGGACAUAUGUAUACAUCUGUGAAAUCAUCAUCAUGAUCAAGGUAAUAGACAUGUCACCUCCAAAAGGUUCCUUGUGUCCCUUUGGUUGUUUUUCUAAAAGCGCUUCACAUGAAAUGUCUCAAAAUUUUAAGUGCAUAAUACAGUAUUAUUAACUAUAGGUACAAUGUUUGUUGUAGAUCUUUAGAUCUACAACAGAUCUUUAGAACUAAUUCAGCCUGUGUAUCUGAAACUUUAUAUCAAUAGAAAAACUCCCCCUUAACCCUUUCUCUUGGUCCCUGGUAACCACAGUUCUAUUUUCUGAUUCUAUAAGUAUGAUGAUUUUAGGUACCUCGUGUAAGUGGAACCAUGCAGUAUUUGUCCUUCUGUGGCUGGCUUAUUUCACUUAGCAUAAUGUCCUUCAGGUUUACCUAUGUUGUUGCAAAUGGCAGGAUUUCCCCUUUAUUUUUUUUUUUUUUUUUACUUGUUAAAAUGUUUGUUUAUGUAUUCCGAGCAAGAGAGAGAACCAGCGAGAGCUGGAGAGAGCACGUGAGCAAACAGGGGAGGGGCAGAAAGAGAGGGACAGAGAGAAUCCUAAGCAGGCUCUGUGCUGUUGGCUCAGAGCCCUACCUGGGGCUCCAUCUUACAGACCAAACCGUGAGAUCAUGAUCUGAGCUGAAAUAAAGAGUCAGAUGCUUAACCAGCUGAGCCACCCAGGUGCCCCAGGAUUUGCCCUUCAAAGCGAAUAAGACACUACUGUGUUGAUGCAAAAUGAACAAACCUUUUUUUUCUUUUUUAAGUUUUAAAAGAACCGAGUUUUUUAUUCGAGCCCCAGUUUGGACAGCUGCCCCAGAUACACAAUCUUCACGAAGAAGAGAUCAUUCCAGGGAAGGAACAUUUGGUGCGGGGUUAUAUGUUUUGUGUUGUGUUGUGUUGUGUUGUUUUGUUUUACAUACUUACACAUCAUCAUGACAAAGGACAUUAUAGAAAGAGACUUUACCUAUGUUUUCAGUACGUGCAAGGCUGUGUGAAUUUAUCUUGUGGGAACCAGGGAGGUUUUUUUUUUUUUUCUUUUUUCUUAAUGUUUGGAAUGUUCUUUUCAUUGUUUUAGUGAAGCAGAUGUAUAGUGUUCUGGCCAGAAAUAGAGCUCAUGCUUCAAGAUUUUGCCGAGUCAUUUUGACCUUGGUAAAUGUUAAUGUUCCUUUAUUUCAUCAACUCUGUGAUGCAUGUAUAUAUAUUUAUUAAAAUAUACAUAUUUAUCAUAUUUUCUUUAUCCAUUUCUCUUCAAUGGACAUUUAGGUUAUUUCCAUAACUUGGCUAUUGUGGAUAGUGCUACAAGGAGCGUAAGAAUGCAGAUAGGUCUUUGAGAUCCUGAUUUCCAUUCUUUUGAGUCUCUAUACCCAGGAAUGAGAUUGUUGGAUCAUAGGAUAGUUCUAGUUUUAAUUUUUUGAGGGAGUUUCAUGCUGUUUUCUUUAGCGGCUUGCCAUUUUACAUUCCUAUCAACAGUGCGCAAGGGUCCAAUUUCGCCACAUUCUUGCCAACACUUUUUUUUUUUUUUUAAAUAACCAUGCUAACUGGUAUGAGGUGAUAUUUCAUUGUGGUUUUGAUUUGAAUUGCCCUCAUAAUUAGUGAUGUUGAGAAUCUUUUCUUAAAGUUUUUGGCCUCUUAAAGGAGAGAUCGUCAGGAAGAAGAUAGGAGCAAUCAGGGCAUUGCAAGUCUUGAUUAUACAAAGACAUUAAUCAUGGGAACUCAAAUCCUCAUGUUCCAAGCCCUCCCCCCAAAAGAAAGAACAGGACUGAAAUCAACAUCUUUGAACAUGAAACCUUGGGCAAGUGUGCAUGCUUUCUCGUAGGAAAGAUGUAGCAAAGUACAAGCUUGAUUAAAGCAGAUAAAGGGCUGAGUGUGGACACGUCUGGAAAAGAUGCUCCAGGAGGUAUCUCCAACUCCGUGUCCUCCGAGUGUCCUCCGUGGUUCCUGAGGUCCUGGCACACCAGAGGCCAGAUGCCCCAUGGCUGUAUUCGGCAGCCUCUAUCGCCACCAGGUAUCUCUUAGGGUAAGAGGUUGACUCAGAAUGCAGACGUGAGUAGGGCGGAUGGAGAAUCUGUGACAUUGGCACGGUUUAUUAAAUUGACCAUGGAUGACAGGGAUACGUGGAAUCUGGAGCUCUGUCUUUAUGGUUGUAAUAACCUAGAGUUGAUGUACUUGAAAAAAAAAUUCGGUGCUAGCCGUCCCCAGGUUAUCACACGAUCUGUAGCACAGUGUAAAUCACUACCCACUGGUGUAGCAUGGGGAGGAUUUGUGUUUCUAAGUUGCAUAUCUAGCCUAAGUGGCAACUGAGUGAGAGUAAUGUACAGUGAAGGGGACGAGAAAUUAGGUUUACUUGCCUGUAUUAGAAAUUUAAUAGAUGUUGUAUAUUCUCCUGUUAACAGUUUUUCCCCUUUUAUUUGUGACUGCUGCUUCAUCUUUUUCCACCAAUUGUAACACACCUUAUUCCUUGCCUCUCCUUCCACAUUUGCAUAAGGAAGUCUCAUAUCCACAGUCUUUAUAGAGCUCUGCUUUUUAUUUUCAGUCACUGCAUCUGUCAGAAGCAUAUUAUUAUCAGUUGGCCCAACCAACUGCAAUCGACCCCAGAAAUUGUGUCCCUUGAGGACAGAAAACUGGACACUGGUGGUCACGAAUAAUUGUAGAAGUUACAGCCUCCCUGUUUAAAAGCUUUUGUUCUGAAAUAAUGUAAGGCUUACAUAAAAAUUGCAGAACUAGUGCAGAACUAGUGCAGGGAGUUCCUGUGGCUCUUACAGCAAAGCUCAGUCGAACAAAACUGUUUACAUUGUGAUAGUUCAUUUACCAGAAUUCAUAAAUUUACAUUGAUAGAGUAGUAUUUAACUGCCGUCAAAUCCGGAUUUCACCAGACUCAAACAGGCAAUCGCUCCUUUUUGUUAGGUUUUGUUUUCUUUGGUGUGGUAUAUAACUAAAGACACUUUUUUCACUUGUAUAAAUCUGUAUGAAUCCUACCAGAAUACAGACACAGAAAUUCCUAAGAAACCCAGAGAAACUCCCUAUGUUCCUUCUUUUGGGGUUUAUUUUGUUUAUAUGUUUUCAUCAUGAUAAGUGUACUCUUUAAUCCCCAUCCUCUAUUUCGGCCAUCCCCCCACCCACCUCCCCUCUGGUAACCAUGUGUGUUCUCUAUGGUUAAGAGGCUAUUUCUUGGUUUGUCUCUUUUUUUCCUGUGCUCAUUUGUUUUGUUUCUAAAUUCUACAUGAGUGAGAUCAUAUGGUAUUUGUCUUCCUCUGACUUAUUUCACUUAGCAUGAUACUCUAGCUCCGUCUGUGUCAUUAGAGACGCAGGAUUUAAUUCCUUUUUAUGACUGAAUAAUGUUCCUGUGUGUGUGUCCCACAUCUUCUUUAUCCACUUAUCAGUCGAUGGACGUUUGGGCUGCUUCCAUAGUUUGGCUAUUGUAAAUAAUGCUGCAGUAAACAUCGGGGUGCGUGUAUCCCUUUGAUUUAGUAUAUUUAUAUUUUGGGGGUAAAUAUCCAGGAGGCUGAUUAUUGGACAAUGGGGAAGUUCUGUUUCUUAAUGUUCCUUCUUUAUAAUCCUUGGCAACCGCUGACCUACUCUAUGUUAGUAUCAUUUUUUUGAAAGUGUUAGACAAAUGGAAUUAAAAACUACAUAAUGUUAUGAAAUGAGCUUUUUCAGUUGGCAUAAUGUACUUGAGAGAUCCCCAAGUGGAGAGGAGAAAUACUAUAUCCCUUUUGCUUGCUGAAUGGGAUUCCCAGUACAACAGUUUAUCCCUUUAGCCAUUGAAGGAAACUGGAGUUCUCUGUAGUUGGGGCUAUUACAAAUACAGUUGUUAUGUUCAUUUGCGUAUGGUGUCUUGUGUGAACAUUUACUUUUAUUUCUCUAGGGUAAAUUUUCAGAAAGGGCUUGUUCUGUCAUACAGUAAGUAUAUGUUUAAUUUUUUUCUUUAAUGACCAUUAUAUUUUUGAGAGAGAGAGAGAGAGAGAGCACAGAAUCCGAAGCAGACUCCAGGCUCUGAGCUGUCAGCACAGAGCUCUACGUGGGACUCAAACUCACGAGCCAUGAGAUCAUGGCCUCAGCUGAAGUCGGAUGAUUAACCAACUGAGCCUCCCAGGUGCCCCAGUAUAUGUUUAACUUUAUAAGAAACUAGUAAAUCGAUUUCCAGAGAUCCUAGACCAUUUUACUUUCUCACCAUCAAUGAGUGACAAAUCCAGGUAACUGUUCCAUAUCCUCAUCAGCACUUGAGAUUUUCAGUAAUUUCUAUUUUACCUAUUCAAGUAGGUAUUUAGUAGUAUGGCAUCGUGGCUUAAAAUUACAUUCUACCAAUGGAUAAUGAUAUGUGUUUUUUCAUCUCCUUGUUUACAAUCCAUAUAUUCUCUUUGGUGAAUGGUGUGUUUAAGCCUUAGGCCCAUUUUCUUUCUUAAGUUCAUUUAUUCAUCUUGAGAGAGAGAGCAAGCACAGGGGAGGGGAGGAGAGAGAUGGAAAGAGAAUCCCAAGGAGGCUCUGCUCUGUCAGUGCAGAGCCCAAAGCAGGGCUCGAACUCACAAAUACACCUAAUUUCUAAUUAGAUUGUUUCUUACUGUUAAAUGUAGAGACCUUUUGGGAGGCGGGGGGAGGUGUGUGCAGGAAGAUGCAAAUAUUUGAUCACACAGGUGAUUUGCAAAGAUUUUCCCCCACUAUGCGGCGGAGGUGAGCUGUGCGUCUUAAAGAUGUUCGGUUCUGUAGCCUGCAAUAAAUGCAUAUGACAACAUCAACAGAGGAAAAAAUUUUUAAAGUUCUGCCCCUCUAUCUUCCCAGUGUGUCCGGGAUAACCAGUUCCGACUGCUUCAUUGUGUGAAGGUGAGAGAGCGCCAGCGACCACUGGUAUCAGUAUCCACGGGGUUAUGUACACACAUCUGAAACCUCCUUAGAGGUCAGUACGGCCCUUUAUUAUUAUUUCCAUGCAGUGUAAAUCACACUUAGUAAGGCUAGUAUUUUCUCAGCAAACUCGUGAGAUGGUGUAUAUAUACAGAUACAUGCAUUCUCACUAACACACAGAAUUGGUAGAUACUUGUGUGUGCCGUCGCGGUGAGACUUUAUAACCAAGAAGGUAGCUCUGACGGUGUGGUUCCUUUUGCUCAAAUGCAAAGCCAGUGUGCAUUACCAAGUCAGACACGAUGAAAAUAAUACAAGGACCGCUUCCUGGUGACCUUGUGGGCUGUUUCUGCACACAUGGAGCUAGGCUUUUGCCUGGACUUCAGAGAAGUGUAUUCUGUCGAGCACUUCUAUGGCCCUGUCAGCAAACUAGAUGUCACUACGGGUGGGAGGUUCCAUGGUGGCAGCAGCUGCCUGAGCCUGCUCUCCGGAUGACUCGCCUGGCUGUGAGCUUCAUGAAGGGCAGCUACUACCCCACUGAGGAGCAGAUCUAGAAUUCCUGAAUGUAAUGGGGGCGUAGGCUGGGAGGAGGCAUUUCUUUGGGAGUCCAGGAAGCUCACUACCAGAGAUUUGGUGCCGCAAGAGUACCUGGGGUACCGCCGGGUGCCGGCUAGAGAUCCACCAUGCCCCGAGCUCCUGAGGGGCCCGAGAGCCCAUGUGGAUACCGGAAAGAGUCAAGUCCUGGAGGUUUGAGGAAGGCCACUUACAGUGUCCACUGUUCCUUCCCAUAUCAAUCUCAUGAGGCUUUCCAAAGUGGUUUCUUCAGUUUUUGUAGUUUGUGGUUGAACACCGCCUCUCGGGGUUCCCUUCCCCACACACACCCCUUCCCUUCUCUAGCAGCACACCCCACCA